ACGUAGGAGGCGAGCGUUGUCCGGAAUCAUUGGGCGUAAAGAGCGCGCAGGCGGCUUGGCAAGUCGGGUGUGAAAUCCCGGGGCUCAACCCCGUGACUGCAUCCGAUACUGUCAGGCUAGAGGUAGGUAGGGGAGAUCGGAAUUCCUGGUGUAGCGGUGAAAUGCGCAGAUAUCAGGAGGAACACCGGUGGCGAAGGCGGCGAUCUGGACGAUGACUGACGCUGAGACGCGAAAGCGUGGGGAGCAAACAGGA
rnacentral:rRNA from 1 species